CUGGCCACUGCCAAGGCUCAGACUGAAGAGUCCCCUGCCAGAGCAGUGCCAUCAUCUCCCCCAGUCCAACCCCUGAGGUGGAAGCCAAAUUUCCCACAACAAUAUGCAGCCCUGUGUCAUCUACCCAGGGGGCUGGAGUCUACCCCCAGACAUCAGAGCAGCUUGACAGAGAACUCAGCUGUUGCUGUCUCAGUGAAACCAGUGAUGUAGCUGUGUCAGGUGGCUGCUGACAUGAACAAGGAUGUGGAUAGAGGUUACUGCCAUCGGUUUCCACCCUGUGAGUUUUGGCUGAUGUCCUGGGACUGAGUCACUAUAUGUGGUGUGACGAAUCAUAAGGAAUCCUGCUGAGAUUUUACCACUGUGUAACCGUGUCCACACACACAUUACGCCUUGGAUACCAUCUCUGGAAAUCCAGUCUUCAGCACGCCGGGGUCUGUCACUCAGAAGACGCCUGAUGAGAGUUGUGAAGGGAUGACUGACCAUGGCAGUGUUCCGGGGCUCAGAAGAGGCAACUCAUACUUCAUGAUAGAAGUGGGAAAGAGAUCAGCAAGGACUUCCAGGACCAGGAAUCCAUCAUUUUUACUUCCCAACCAGUAUUGAAGUACCUUCACUUUUGGAAGUCCUUUGGAUGAUUAUACAUGGCAGACUCACGGAAUAUCCACCUGUAAUUAAUGCAGGGAAACUAUUCCAUCUUUAUGCAGAGGUAAGUGAUACUCUGAGACAAAUCAUACCUGUGGAGUGAAUUUGUAAUCAGAAGAGGGCUCUAAACAAUGGAUUCACUGGACAUGGCACUGCAUGUGUGUAAACUUGCAAGUUACCGGUAUCUCAGGGUGUCAUGGAUCUUUUUGCAGGAAAGAGAUCUUCUGUGUGGAUCUCUCCACAUGUGGGGAGAGGUCUGCAGCUAUGGCCCUUCAAAAGUCCUGGGGCAGUGUGGAGGCCAGGGAUCACCAAGGAACACUCCUGAGAGACUCACUGGGAACCUACAGAAUCCAGGCAAGACAAAGAAAGCCUUUCUUUUCUUCUGUUGGUAGAGUUCAAGGCCAUCAGUCAGACCCACGGUCAAAAGCUGAUUCCUCCAAGCUCUGAUCAUUGGCACAGUCCUUAAGCUGCUGCAUGGCUCUUGACAGACAUCCUCCUUCCAUGCAGCCUGACCCAGGUUGGGACAACCUCAUUUGUGAAUGGAAAAAGACCUUAACAGCAGUUUGCAAAGUGAUUUUUAGGAGUCCUGGGACUGCUCAUACUGGAUUUCUUCAUCUCUGCAUCACUUAGGAAGGUGUACUAGAGUUAGUGUGUUUGUCCUUUUCUCCGUGUAUGUUAUAUAUCUGUAGUAUACAUCAGUUAUUAAACAGAAGGCUCCAGAGUUAGUUGUCACUGUCCCCAGACCCCGAGAAGCAAGGAUCAUGGCAGUGCAGCGAAGUCCUGGCUCCCAGGGAGUCUGCACUUAGGGACCGUGCUGUCUCCCAAGGCCCUGAGUGCAGUGGACCUGCUGUGCUUGGCUGCAGAGCCCUUUCUGCUCCCUUUCCUCCCUCGUUAUAUCCUCUGACCUACUGCUGACAGGUGGGAGAACAGGCCAAGGGCCUUUGGCAGGCUCCCCAGCCAAGAUGCAGAAAGGGCCUGGACUCAGCAGGCCACUGCAGGCAGGGCAGAGCUGAAUCCAUGAGUAUGGAAGGGGACAUUCUGGCAGCUGGGUGGCCCUGGGCUCUUGCUCACCUGGUACGUGCACUAUCUGUCUGUUCACUCCUUAGGGCUGUUCUGUCACCCAAAGGCCAUGCAGAAAGCCAUCUUGGCUUUGCUCCCCCUCCCAUGCCAGACUUUUCUGGACCCCUACCAAUGUGGGAAAGAGGGCACCCCUCUACCCUCUGAUGUUCACUGAUUGUCUUCCAGCUCUGAGCAGUGUGGCUCCUCAUUGGCUCUGCUGGGGACCGGAAGCUCUCAGCUCCCUGUAUGCCAUGUGUUACUGGCCCUUGGCAGAGCAAGUGCCAGAUGCAGGAUGAUCUCUAGGAGGACACACUGGAGACAGGCAUGUUCAUGUUGUAAAUGGGUAGAAAUUGAAUUUGGCCCUGGAUUAUGAAUGAUGUCUGUCACGCUCCACCCUAUGGUAGGACAGUUAGAGGAGAGCUCACUUAUUUCAACUUAGGCAUGCCUAAGUCCUCCAUGUGUUUGGAUGCCGGUUUCCUCCUGCAGUCACUGUGACGGAGCUUGCAGUGGGCCUGGUCUGCCAAAGAGCUGGCCUAGGUACCAGGCUGUUCUGCUUGGCAGCUCUGAGCCAGGGGUGCCUACCCAUCAGGGGUAAGCCCCAGGUGUGUAUUUGCUUUCUUCUGCGAACCUCAGUUUGCAUUCUGAUCAGCACCUAUUAGCCACCACACUAUACAUAUGGUCCUAAGCAAGCCGUCUACCUUCUCUGUGACUCUGCUCCUUUAUACUUGAAAGAGACAAUGAAACAUCUCCCCAGGAGUUUCUGAGAUGAUUAAGUGGACAGUUGUAAAAGCACCUCACUGGGCAUGCCACAUGUGUGAGCUGCUUUCUUGCAUCAGGAAACAGGGUACAGAUUUUACGUGUGGCCCCACUAGACAGGAUGUGGGUGGGUGCAAUGGGGCUGGGGUCAUAGAGAAGAAAGGGGGAAGUGCCCUCUGUCCUUAAGCCCCCAGACUCACCAGGAGCCCUAGGUUGCUGCUGCCUCCUGAUACCCCUGGGGACACUAUGAACAUCCUGGGGAGAGCAUGUCACUGAGGCUUGGGAGCUGAACCCAGGAGGAUACCAGCAUAUCAAGCAGGCCUGUAUCUGAAAAAGGUAGCUGGAGCCAGGAGAUCUCUGCAGUGCAGUGCUUGGAAUUGUCAGCUCUGCAGAUGAAGUGCAUGGCUCCAUUGGGGCCCAUGCAAGGCAGAAUCCAGCCUUAGUCUCAGUGAGUGCAUCCUGGGCUGGGGUCAGGCCACAUUUCAUUCUUCAUCAUGGUCAGUGCAAUGAAGACAAAACAAGUAUGCAAAAAUUACACUCAAAAGGGACAAAUAUAAAGGAUAGGAUUUUCCAGUGAUAUUAGUUUCUAGGUAUAAUAUCCAUGUAAGUGAAUAAAUUAUAUUGGAUUUCCUAGUUAUGGAAUCUAAUACUUACCAAAAAAACCAUUUAUACACAUUAGUGAUAAGACUCUACUACACAAAAUUUUGAAAAUUGAUUUUGUAACAGUUAAAAAUCAUUAAAUAUGUAGUGAUAUGACCUGAAGCCAUUUUGAAAGACACCAGAAUUAAACCAUUGAAAUACCUCUUUGACAAUAAAGUUUAAGCAAGUGGUUGCAGAAAGCAAGUUCAUAACUGGAGAGACUCAAAAAUGGAAUGGCUUAAUAUUAAAUAUGUGUUUUCAUAUGUAUGGUAUUUUGCCACCAAAUUAUGUGGACUUCCAGGUAUGAGAUUUUACAUUGAUUAUCUUGGGAAUCACUUGUGAAGACUUGAUUUAUAUCAAAUAAAAGAUAACAGUGUAGGAAGUAAUAAAGGGAGAGCCUUUAUUCCUGUGUAAAAAAGAACAUUUUUAUGAAUAUGUCAGGUUUAAAAGGACAUUACACACCAAAUAAUAUUAUUUAAAAGUUAUGCUUAAUAUACUUAUCUUUUUGGGGGGUCCAGAAGCAGGUAGAAAAUGAAAUGUGGUAAUGCAUGCCUAGAAUCCAGAGUUUUGUAACACUGAGUAAAGAGGACUUUAAGUCAGAAAAUAGCCUUGGUGACAUAAUGACUUAAGAGGAUUGUUAAUCAAAAUAAUAAAAUUUAAAAGGGCUUGGAAUAUGUCUCAAAAUUUGUGAGAUCAGUCGCAUAUUCUGAAAGAGAAAGAAAAGAAAAAAAUUAAAAAGUGACAAUUUAGUUGAAAUUCAGUGAUUUUCUAGGGAUGGAUCUGUGACAAAAAGAAAUUAUUAGCAUAUGAAAGUAGGUAUGGAUCACUGUGUGGAGUAUCUGGUUAAUCAAUACACAAACACUCAGAGAAACCACAAGAAGCUGUGAGAUUUCUAGAUUAUGAAGCCUCCUUGGGAAAAGUACUGGUUGGCACUGCCCUGAGUCUCAAUGUUCUCACAGCUCUGGUUCUUCCAUGUAUGUAAAGCACUGAGACACUCCCAUCGUCAAGGCCAAUAACCAAGUUUUCAGCUACAACCUGCUCACCUCCUUCACCUUCUGUUUCCUCUGCUCCUUGCUCUUCAUUGAUCAUCCCAACAAAGUCACCUGCAUCCUCCAGCAUAUCACAUUUGCAAUUGUCUUCCCUGUCUCUAUUUCCAAACCAUCACUGAAAUGCUGGCCUUUAAAGUCACUGCUCCAGGGAGAAGAAUGAGGCAGUUGAUGGUAUCAGAGGCACCAAAAUACAUCAUCCUCAUCUGCAUCCUGAUCUAGCUCACUCUCUGUGGAGUCUGGGUGGGAACAAAUCCACACUACAUUGACACAGAUGCACACUCUGAGGAUGGCUUCAUCAUCAUAGUGUGCAACAAUGGUUCUCUGACCGUCUUCUACUUUGUCCUAAGAUAACUGGUUUCCCUGAUCAUGCUCAGCUUCAUUGUGGUUUUCCAGGUCACCACUGAAGAUGUCAGGAACCUGGAUGACACCUUCAGUGAAACCAAAUUUCUGCCAUGUUACUGUUUUUCAGUGUGUGCAUCACCUUCCUUCCUGUCUACUUCAGCAGCAGGGCAAGGAGAUGGUGACUAUGGAGGUCUUCUCCAUCUUAGCUCCCAGUGCAGGGCUGCUUGGCUGUAUUUUUGUCUGCAAGUGCUAUAUUAUUUUGUUAAGACCAGAGAGAAAUUCUCUUACUAGUAUCAGGGACAAAGCACAUUCUGUGAGAAAGGAGCUUUCUUAUCAUUACACACAGUUGUCUUCUUAUAUAUACUUGUCCUGAAGUCAAAGCUGAACCAUAUUUACAGUCAGAUACUGUAUUAUACUAUAGAACUUAUAUCCUUACUAGAUUAUGCAACUUCUUUUAUCUAAUAGUAUAAUGGUCCAGUAGAAGCUGUAGUCUUAAUGUCUUUAAAUUCAAUUUUAUUCUUGAUACAUUAUUUCCUAUUUAUGAUGGAAUUCAUCCUAUAUUUUCUGAUUAAAUUAUUGACAUUUUUCUUGUCUUCCUUUGGCUUUGCCAGCAUUUUCUCUCAUUUUAAAAAGGUAAUAACUUUUGUCUUGUAUGGCACUGGGUUUCUGAAUCGUUUUUUCUUUCAAAAGAAGAGCCUGUCUUCAAUAUACUGAUUAUACUACAUUUCAGUAGUUGUAGAUAUACUUGUCUUGUCACAUUUCCAUUUUGCAAUUAGCUUCGUUGCUUUUUAGCAUUCUGUCUCACAUGGCUUUUAGGAUUAUGGAAUUGGCUGGUAAUAUGGAAGUAAAAACACUGCUGAUUAUGUGAUAUCAAUGUAAUCAAUUUAUAGACUAUUUUGUGGAAGAACUUGGAGAUAUGCAGUAGAUUAAUGUCCCAACCCAUAUUUGUAUUUUCUUUUAUUGUUUAUAACUAUCCUUAGUGACAGCUAUGUAUGUGCAUAAUGUACAUUUAUGUUAUACUACAUAUAUUUAUACAAUAAACUUU